AAUCGCUCAAAGGCUGAAAAAGCACUAGCCUGAAGACGAAGACCCCACCCUAAGAAGCAACCGAAAAGGCGCUUCCGCCCUCCUUCCCGCUCCACGCCUCAGUGUCGCCUGGCCCUCCGAUUGGCUGCUCCUCGCACCCGCCCGACAAAGGCUGUGACCCACGUGACUCAACGGCGGCCGGUGGAUUGGUUGUCCGGAGGGGGCUGUUCUGGGCGGGGAGGUCUCGCGAGCGGCAGCAAAGCUAGACUACCUGCAAGCGAGAAGCGGGACUGAGUUGUAGCCAAGAGCCGAAAGGCCGGGUGUCUGCUGCUGUCAGUCUCCGCGGGCCGGAGCAAACCUCCCGAGACAGGGCGUAGGAGCUUGAGGAGUUCGGAGAGCGGGCUGUGGACUCGUGCCUGGGUCUUUGGUUUGAGCCCUGGCUUCGGCCUUACUCGUAUUUCCCUGCAAGUACGGCCCCUCUCAGUCUUUCCUGAAGUCGGUGCGGUUUGGACUUUAUUAUUAUUAUUUUGUUGAGAGUCCAUUGUAUGGAAGCACCGGUUGACCUGCGCAGCGCGCCGUGGAGACCGCCAUGAGGUAGAAGCUAGGGGAGGGAGGGCUUAGAGAUGCUUGUAUGGUUACCUGCGUGCAGUACUGGAGGUUGAGGUGAAAAAUCUGGCUUUUGAUAUCUUCGUGGAGGACUACAUUAUUUCAAUCGUGAAUCUGGUUCAGUUUUCUUAUUGACUUAUUAUGAUAUUAAAAAUGCUUAAUUAA